rnacentral:lncRNA from 1 species
UCGAACCAAGUGGGAUGCAGCUGCAGGGCUCCGGCAAAUGGAUCAAGAGAGAAACAAAAAUCCAAAUAUAAACAUGAAAAACAGGGGAAUAAAUGAAAACAAGAAAAUGGGUAUUUAGGGUGUCAAGAUCCAAGAAGUUAUGAUGUCGGAAAUAGUAAUGGUAACAUAAUUACAGCGUUUUAGGAUGGCGGUAGAGUUAUGCUGAAGGAGGGAGAAGAAGAUAGAAGAAGUCAGGAAAGAGAGGGGCAGAGAGAGGAAGAGGAAGAGGAAGAAAAGAGUGGAGGAGAGAGAAAGACAACCAACACCACGAAAACCUCCCAAAUGAAGGGCGAUGGGUAAAAUUGAGGUCAUGGGCACAAGGACAGACAUCCAAGCACAUACUGGCAAUAAUAUAGUAAUAAUUGUCUUAUAAUUGGAGAUGGUCAAAGGUUUCCUCUCUCGUAUCUAUGUAAUGAAUGGAGGAAAUGGGAUUGCAAGAAGGGAAAAAUUCUACCCGG